rnacentral:rRNA from 1 species
AUUGAACGCUGGCGGCAGGCCUAACACAUGCAAGUCGAACGGUAACAGGAAGACGCUUGCUUCUUUGCUGACGAGUGGCGGACGGGUGAGUAAUGUCUGGGAAACUGCCUGAUGGAGGGGGAUAACUACUGGAAACGGUAGCUAAUACCGCAUAACGUCGCAAGACCAAAAAGGGGGACCUUCGGGCCUCUUGCCAUCGGAUGUGCCCAGAUGGGAUUAGCUAGUAGGUGGGGUAACGGCUCACCUAGGCGACGAUCCCUAGCUGGUCUGAGAGGAUGACCAGCCACACUGGAACUGAGACACGGUCCAGACUCCUACGGGAGGCAGCAGUAGGGAAUAUUGCACAAUGGGCGCAAGCCUGAUGCAGCCAUGCCGCGUGUAUGAAGAGGGCCUUCGGGUUGUAAAGUACUUUCAGCGGGGAGGAAGGGAGUAAAGUUAAUACCUUUGCUCAUUGACGUUACCCGCAGAAGAAGCACCGGCUAACUCCGUG